rnacentral:lncRNA from 1 species
AAGGAGGGAAUGCUUAGAUAGGAGCAUGGAGGGCGUGCCUGGUGAAGGGAACAGUAUGGCACAGCUUCAGAGGCAAGGGUGAGCCAGCAGCAAGGGGCUGGCUAUGGCCGGUACAAAAAGCAUGUGCUCGUGGGAAAUAGGCACCAAAGAAGGCCCAGAGAGGUUUAACAACUUCCUCAGAAUCACACAGCUUCCAAAUGGUUGGGUUGGGUUUACAUUUAGGCGGUCUUGCUCCAGAGCCAGUGCUCCUAACCUUUGCAAGCCACGAACCUCAAGAAAGUGGAGAAGGAAACGCUGGGAAAUCUGGAAGUCAGACAUGAGAGCUAAUGCUGGCAGCUGUUGGGAUGUCCUCUUCCAGGAAUGGUGAUGAGUUUCCCUGGAUCCAGCCCUGGCUUGGCUGAGGUCCUUGGAACAGGAGAAAGGGUUGGAAAACAAAGAUCACUUUUCUCUGGCCAAAUGGAAUCACCCAACAAAGUACCUUCCUGAUGGGCCAGCUAUUUCAGAUGAUGAAGGUUUAAGAAGCAGCAUCAUCAGCGAACUGUGUUUUGAAGAUUUGAGGGAAGGGCUGACCUCAGGAUUUUAUACUAGUUGCUGACCUCCAUAACAGCAGACAAAAUUGGAAGCAAGAGUGAUUUUGGAGGAGUCACACUUAGAUGUUUCCCUUACCUAUUUCUGUUCUGGAAAUUUAAAAAUCUUACUUCUCGUGACAGUCCUACAUGAAAAAUUAAAAAUCACAAGGAUUCAUGGAUGGAAAA